UACGUAGGGGGCGAGCGUUAUCCGGAUUUACUGGGCGUAAAGCGCGUUAAGGCGGUUGGCAAAGUUGGUGGUGAAAUCUCAGGGCUCAACCCUGAAACUGCCUCCAAUACUGGUCGACUAGAGUGCAAGAGAGGAAGGUGGAAUUCCCGGUGUAGUAGUGAAAUGCGUAGAUAUCGGGAGGAACACCAGUGGCGAAGGCGGCCUUCUGGGGUUGUCUUGACGCUGAGGCGCGAAAGCGUGGGUAGCAAACAGG
rnacentral:rRNA from 1 species